rnacentral:rRNA from 1 species
AUGAAUCAAAACUUUCAACAACGGAUCUCUUGGCUCUGGCAUCGAUGAAGAACGCAGCGAAAUGCGAUAAGUAAUGUGAAUUGCAGAAUUCAGUGAAUCAUCGAAUCUUUGAACGCACAUUGCGCCCGCCAGUAUUCUGGCGGGCAUGCCUGU